ensembl:lncRNA
GCGGGAUUGGCUUUGCUGACCCGCUGCUCGGCAGCUCCUUUCAUCUGCCCGGGCUCACGUGUCCCACAUCAAGGAGGCAAUUUCCUUUACAACAGCUCUGGCUGUGCGAGCCUCAAUACCAGCAGUCAUCUUAGUUUUCAGGAUCGGCGGACUACAAAGAAAGACGAAAGAGAACAACUGAACGCCAUUCCCUUCCCCCCGGCUCAGCCUGGCACAGAACUGCCCGGCUUCUCCCCGCUUGCUCUGCCGCCAGCCGAGGGGAUGCUGAGCUCAGGGGGACUCCGGUUGUGGAUGAAGCAGAAGGGAUUCGACAGAGAGAGAACUGCUCCUUUCUACCCCUCUAAAGCUCCUAAGAACGGUGCUCAGAGCCAUCCUCGGCCAUCUCGGCUGCUGUGCUGUUGGGAGGCUGUGUAGCACCCCGGGUCCCUCCUGUUUGCAGUCUGCGCCACGGAGUCAGAAAGGCUCUCCAUAACCAAAAGAGGAGGGUGGAAGAGACCACAUUCAGGCUUAAAAUCUCGUGUUCUACUCAGCUGUGACAGCACAAACCACCUUGGCAGUGUUUUUUCUCCCCUGGAUUCAAUAUUCUGGACCUGCAGCAGCUCUGCAGAGGGUUUGUUAUGGGGACGUCAGCUGGACCACAAAGCAAACACUUUGUGAGGUGCUCACCUGCAAUUUCACCACAAACAGGAGAGGUCCUGGAGCGAACCGAUGGCAUUGGGAGUUUGCUCCUGGCCAGCCCAGAUUGCCUCCAUCUACCAAACCUCAUCCCAGUGGUCUCUCCUGAAGCUCAUGUUUGCCACCCAUGGAGCCACAGUAAUCAUUCGGUGCAGCCAAGAGCAUCACAGCGAUGCUGUAUCCAUCCUGAGCUGCAGCGGUGGCUGUCCUUUCCCCAGCAUCCCUGACCCAACCUGGGUCCUGAAUGCUCUUUGUGGUGAGGCCCCGGCACUGCCCAGAGUUGUGGGUGCCCCAUCCCUGGAAGUGCCUGAGGCCAUGGAUGGGUCCUGAGCAGCCUGAGCUGAAGGGCAGCCAGCCCUUGCCUGCUGAAGACACUUUGGUAUGGCAUUAUGCAUCCCAUCAUCAGGAAUAAUAAAUGGACAUCACUGUGCUUGGAUUACACAGCUUGAGCUGAAGGACCAGGCCCUGGUGUGGAGAGGUGGCUGCUCCCCUCUUCAGCUGCUGCCUGAUUUCUGGGUUAGAGCAGAGCUGUGAUUGUUCCUGACACUGCAAUUACAUGUGUUGUGGGGACGAAGCCAAGGCUGCCCUGGGAGCAGAGAUGCUCUGUUGGCCUCACAGUGCUCAUCCAGAUUCCUCCUGUGUCCAGUGUGUAUGAAUCCCAUCCAUUUCUGGAUGUUUUUACUAACAACACCCAGGGGUUGGUUGCAUUUCCAUCCAGAAAUCUGGAGCUCUCCUGUAGCAGCACAGUGGGACACAGAGCAACACAUGCACUGCGACCUGCUCUCAGCUCUGAUGGGAAACAGAAGCUGCAGUCUGAUGGCUUUGGUCCUGGUGCUUCCCAUUGGGCUAUGUAGGCAGCAGCCCCUGUUUCACAUCUAUGGGAGAGGAGCAGCUCCUGCACACCCGGGGCAGCCUCCUGCCCACUCCUGCUGCUGCUCUGCCCUCACACUCUGCACUGCCAGCUUCACUCUGCCCUGUGCCUUUGGCACUUGUAGUCCUUGCAGGCACGGGGCUGCUCUCAGCGGUGGAGCCUCUGCCAACAAAUUCUGGGGAUCCUUAGUGGGGGUAGGAGCUGAAAUUCCGACACAGAGAGCCUGACCCAGCCCAAGCCCUGCAGCUUUCUUAGGGCCAGCUGCUCUUUUCUUCUGGUGGGGGUUUCUUCCUGCUCAGUUCCACAUCGCUUCCUCCAAAGUGCCCUUGGGGAUGUUGGCUGCUCCCUCUGAUGCUUCCAACAGGCCGCAGGAGGGCUGUGCUAAUGCAUGCCUGAGACCAGCACGUACAUCUCUUUCUCCUCACACUGCAAAUGUUUCCCCACUUUUGCUGUUGUAGGAAUUUACAUUUAUGUUCUUGUAAAGUCAUAGAAUCGUUAAGGUUGGAAAAGACCUCCAAGAUCACCUCUAAAACUUUGAAGCCUAACCCCAGCCCACCCCCACCAUGCCUACUGCCCAGGUCCCACCUGUGUGGUUGCUCCAUACGUCCCCUUUGCUACACAGGGCUGGGCAAAGGGAGAGCAGAAUUUGUGCUUCCAAGUUGCACCUCAGCAAAUCAACCCAUGUGCUGUGCAGGCGAGGAGCGGGCAGUCAGUGCCCAGGGGUGCAGAGAGCUCAGGGGUUGGAGCCCUGGGAGCAGUGUGUCCUGCAUGGAGUGCUUGGGCAGUCCCAGUGAGCAUCACUCUGGCCCUGAGUCCCUACAGGCACUCAGCCCUUGCUGGGCACGCUGCUGCCAGGUCACAUAGUGAGAAACAGCUCUUCUUGCGGCAAUGAAUGCACUCAGCAGUGAUAUGAAAUAUCCUGAACAAGCACAGCAAGGCACGCACCUGCACGCAAGAUAAAGCUGAGGCAAGAGAUGACAAAGAUGAACACAACCCAGAAGAUAUUUCUUAUUAAACAGUUGCCUGCCUGAUUUGUUUCCUGCAUUAGUGAUGACGCAUGGCUGCUAUUCACAUUAAUAGGCAGCCAUAAAGUAUUUUUGUCAGCUGAGUUUUACCUGGAGUUAAAUAAAAUAUUACUGUUU